rnacentral:rRNA from 1 species
GACGAACCGUGCGAACGUUAUUCGGAAUCACUGGGCUUAAAGGGCGCGUAGGUGGUUGAUCAAGUCUGGGGUGAAAUCUUUCGGCUUAACCGGAAAAGUGCCUUGGAUACUGGUCAGCUGGAGGGAGGUAGGGGCAGUUGGAACUUCCAGUGGAGCGGUGAAAUGCGUUGAUAUUGGAAGGAACGCUGGUGGCGAAAGCGAACUGCUGGACCUCUUCUGACACUGAUGCGCGAAAGCUAGGGGAGCAAACGGG